GACGAACGCUGGCGGCGUGCCUAAUACAUGCAAGUAGAACGCUGAAGAGAGGAGCUUGCUCUUCUUGGAUGAGUUGCGAACGGGUGAGUAACGCGUAGGUAACCUGCCUUGUAGCGGGGGAUAACUAUUGGAAACGAUAGCUAAUACCGCAUAACAAUGGAUGACCCAUGUCAUUUAUUUGAAAGGGGCAAAUGCUCCACUACAAGAUGGACCUGCGUUGUAUUAGCUAGUAGGUGAGGUAACGGCUCACCUAGGCGACGAUACAUAGCCGACCUGAGAGGGUGAUCCGCCACACUGGGACUGAGACACGGCCCAGACUCCUACGGGAGGCAGCAGUAGGGGAUCUUCGGCAAUGGGGGCAACCCUGACCGAGCAACGCCGCGUGAGUGAAGAAGGUUUUCGGAUCGUAAAGCUCUGUUGUAAGUCAAGAACGAGUGUGAGAGUGGAAAGUUCACACUGUGACGGUAGCUUACCAGAAAGGGACGGCUAACUACGUG
rnacentral:rRNA from 1 species